rnacentral:rRNA from 1 species
AUUGAACGCUGGCGGCAGGCUUAACACAUGCCAGUCGAGCGAGUGGCGGACGGGUGAGUAAUUUCUGGGAAACUGCCUGAUGGCGGGGGAUAACUCCUGGAAACGGUAGCUACUACCGCAUACCCUCGGAUGUGCCCCGAUGGGCUUAGCUAGUCGGUGGGGUAAAGGCUCACCUAGGCGACGAUCCCUAGCUGGUCUGAGAGGAUGACCAGCCACACUGGAACGGAGACACGGUCCAUACGCCUACGGGAGGCAGCAGUGGGGAAUAUUGCACAAGGGGCGCAAGGCUGAUGCAGCCAUGCCGCGUGUAUGAAGAAGGCCUUCGGGUUGUAAAGUACUUUCAGCGGGGAGGCGUUACCCGCAGAAGAAGCACCGGCUAACUCCGUGCCAGCAGCCGCGGUAAUAC